CCAAAGUCAUGGUUAAGUGGGAAACGAUGUGGGAAGGCCCAGACAGCCAGGAUGUUGGCUUAGAAGCAGCCAUCAUUUAAAGAAAGCGUAAUAGCUCACUGGUCGAGUCGGCCUGCGCGGAAGAUGU
rnacentral:rRNA from 1 species